rnacentral:rRNA from 1 species
CCCUUCGGGGAAGGAUUAGCGGCGAACGGGUGAGGAACACGUGAGGAAUCUGCCUUCAACACUGGGAUAACUCCGGGAAACCGGGGCUAAUACCGGAUACGAGACCUGCAGGCAUCUGCGGGUCUGGAAAGUUUUUCGGUUGAAGAUGACCUCGCGGCCUAUCAGCUUGUUGGUGAGGUAAUGGCUCACCAAGGCGACGACGGGUAGCCGGCCUGAGAGGGCGACCGGCCACACUGGGACUGAGACACGGCCCAGACUCCUACGGGAGGCAGCAGUGGGGAAUAUUGGGCAAUGGAGGGAACUCUGACCCAGCGACGCCGCGUGCGGGAUGAAGGCCUUCGGGUUGUAAACCGCUUUCAGCAAGGAAGAAGCGAAAGUGACGGUACUUGCAGAAGAAGCACCGGCUAACUAUGUGCCAGCAGCCGCGGUAAUACAUAGGGUGCAAGCGUUGUCCGGAAUUAUUGGGCGUAAAGAGCUCGUAGGUGGUUCGUCACGUCGGAUGUGAAAAUCUGGGGCUUAACCCCAGACCUGCAUUCGAUACGGGCGAGCUAGAGUGUGGUAGGGGAGACUGGAAUUCCUGGUGUAGCGGUGGAAUGCGCAGAUAUCAGGAGGAACACCAAUGGCGAAGGCAGGUCUCUGGGCCAUUACUGACACUGAGGAGCGAAAGCGUGGGGAGCGAACAGGAUUAGAUACCCUGGUAGUCCACGCCGUAAACGGUGGGCACUAGUUGUGGGAACCUUCCACGGUUUCUGCGACGCAGCUAACGCAUUAAGUGCCCCGCCUGGGGAGUAC